AUUGAACGCUGGCAGCAGGCCUAACACAUGCAAGUCGAGCGGAUGAAGGGAGCUUGCUCCUGGAUUCAGCGGCGGACGGGUGAGUAAUGCCUAGGAAUCUGCCUGGUAGUGGGGGAUAACGUCCGGAAACGGGCGCUAAUACCGCAUACGUCCUGAGGGAGAAAGUGGGGGAUCUUCGGACCUCACGCUAUCAGAUGAGCCUAGGUCGGAUUAGCUAGUUGGUGGGGUAAAGGCCUACCAAGGCGACGAUCCGUAACUGGUCUGAGAGGAUGAUCAGUCACACUGGAACUGAGACACGGUCCAGACUCCUACGGGAGGCAUCAGUGGGGAAUAUUGGACAAUGGGCGAAAGCCUGAUCCAGCCAUGCCGCGUGUGUGAAGAAGGUCUUCGGAUUGUAAAGCACUUUAAGUUGGGAGGAAGGGCAGUAAGUUAAUACCUUGCUGUUUUGACGUUACCAACAGAAUAAGCACCGGCUAACUUCGUG
rnacentral:rRNA from 1 species